CUACGGGCCGCUCCAGUGAGGAAUAUUGCACAAUAGGGGGAACCCUGAUGCAGCAACGCCGCGUGGAGGAUGACGCAUUUCGGUGUGUAAACUCCUUUUAUAUGUCAAGAAAAUGACGGUAGCAUAUGAAUAAGCACCGGCUACUCCGUGCCAGCAGCCGCGGUAAUACGGAGGGUGCAAGCGUUACUCGGAAUCACUGGGCGUAAAGGACGCGUAGGCGGGUUGGAAAGUCAGGUGUGAAAUCCUACAGCUUAACUGUAGAACUGCACUUGAAACUUCUAAUCUAGAGUAUGGGAGGGGGAGAUGGAAUUAGUGGUGUAGGGGUAAAAUCCGUAGAUAUCACUAGGAAUACCUAAAGCGAAGGCGAUCUCCUGGAACAUUACUGACGCUAAGGCGUGAAAGCGUGGGGAGCAAACAGGAUUAGAUACCCGAGUAGUC
rnacentral:rRNA from 1 species